rnacentral:rRNA from 1 species
UUAGGAAUCUUGCGCAAUGGACGAAAGUCUGACGCAGCGACGCCGCGUGCGGGAUGAAGGCCCUCGGGUUGUAAACCGCUUUCAGCAGGGACGAAAUUGACGGUACCUGCAGAAGAAGCCCCGGCCAACUACGUGCCAGCAGCCGCGGUAAUACGUAGGGGGCUAGCGUUGUCCGGAUUUAUUGGGCGUAAAGAGCUCGUAGGUGGUUCGGUAAGUCGGAUGUGAAAUCUCCAGGCUCAACCUGGAGGGGUCAUUCGAUACUGCCGUGACUAGAGUUCGGUAGAGGAGUGUGGAAUUCCUGGUGGAGCGGUGAAAUGCGCAGAGAUCAGGAGGAACACCCGUAGCGAAGGCGGCACUCUGGGCCGAUACUGACACUGAGGAGCGAAAGCGUGGGGAGCGAACA